rnacentral:lncRNA from 1 species
GGCAGAAAUCCAUCUUUCAAAUAGCAGAGAAGAGAAUCGAUCCAUAAAGGUUCAUCAUCCACCUGCAUCACCUCUAUGAGAUCCUCUAUGAUAGGUUUCUUCACUAUCUCGAAGUAGGCUCUUCUAGGCAGAUCAGAAGGUGAGGAAGCGGCCAGCUUAGACAGUAAGUUGACUCGUGUAUUUUUUGCUCUUGGUAUCUGCUGGAUCCUGAAGUUUCAAAAAUCAAGAUCACAUCUU